rnacentral:rRNA from 1 species
UACGUAGGGCGCAAGCGUUGUCCGGAAUUAUUGGGCGUAAAGAGCUCGUAGGCGGUUUGUUGCGUCGGCCGUGAAAACUUGGGGCUUAACCCCGAGCUUGCGGUCGAUACGGGCAGACUUGAGUUCGGCAGGGGAGACUGGAAUUCCUGGUGUAGCGGUGAAAUGCGCAGAUAUCAGGAGGAACACCGGUGGCGAAGGCGGGUCUCUGGGCCGAUACUGACGCUGAGGAGCGAAAGCGUGGGGAGCGAACAGG